rnacentral:miRNA from 1 species
GGUCCAGAGGGGAGCUAGG